rnacentral:rRNA from 1 species
GAUGAACGCUGACAGAAUGCUUAACACAUGCAAGUCGAUGGGGAAGUGGUGCUUGCACCCUGGUAACCAUGGCGGACGGGUGAGUAACGCGUAAGGAACUUGCCUGCGGGACUGGGAUAACAGCAGGAAACUGCUGAUAAUACCGGAUAAGGUCAUUAAGCUGCAUAGCUUAGUGAUGAAAGGAGACGCCUGCGGAGAGCCUUGCGUCCUAUUAGCUAGUUGGAGGGGUAACGGCCCACCAAGGCGAAGAUAGGUAGCCGGCCUGAGAGGGUGGACGGCCACAAGGGGACUGAGAUACGGCCCUUACUCCUACGGGAGGCAGCAGUGGGGAAUAGUGGACAAUGGGGGCAACCCUGAUCCAGCAAUUCUGUGUGCACGAAGACGGUUUUCGGAGUGUAAAGUGCUUUCAGCAGGGAAGAAGGAAGUGACGGUACCUGCAGAAGAAGCGACGGCUAAAUACGUG